rnacentral:rRNA from 1 species
AAUGGAAAAGCCGGUACAAGCGUAUAGCAGUCAUGCAGGCAAAACCGCAUGAAAAAUGUAAAGCGUUAUGUGGAUCGAACAUUAGUAGAGAAGCGUGUGAGCCAGCUGCCAAGAAAAGCCGCUAUUGUUUCAUAAGUACCCGUACCGUAAACCGACACAGGUGGAUGAGGAGAGAAUCCUAAGGCCGGCGGGAGAAGUGUUGUUAAGGAACUCGGCAAAAUGACUCCGUAACUUCGGGAGAAGGAGUGCCACAGAGAUGUGGCCGCAGAGAAAUGGCCCAAGCAACUGUUUAGCAAAAACACAGGUCUAUGCAAAACCGAAAGGUGAGGUAUAUGGGCUGACGCCUGCCCGGUGCUGGAAGGUUAAGAGGAGAGGUUAGAGCAAUCGAAGCUUUGAAUUUAAGCCCCAGUAAACGGCGGCCGUAACAAUAACGGUCCUAAGGUAGCGAAAUUCCUUGUCGGGUAAGUUCCGACCCGCACGAAAGGCGUAAUGAUUUGGGCACUGUCUCAACAACACACCCGGUGAAAUUGAAAUACCAGUGAAGAUGCUGGUUACCUGCGCCAGGACGGAAAGACCCCAUGGAGCUUUACUCCAGUUUGAUACUGGGAUUCGGUACUGUCUGUACAGGAUAGGUGGAGGCUAGGAAAUGGUGACGCCAGUUGCCAUGGAGCCAACCUUGGGAUACCACCCUUACAGUACUGGGUUUCUAACCUGCAGCCGUACCCGGCUGGGGGACAAUGUCUGACGGGGAGUUUGACUGGGGCGGUCGCCUCCGAAAGAGUAUCGGAGGCGCUCAAAGGUUCCCUCAGAACGGUUGGAAACCGUUCGAAGAGUGCAAAGGCAGAAGGGAGCUUGACUGCGACACCGACGGGUGGAGCAGAUACGAAAGUAGGACUUAGUGAUCCGGUGGUAUAAAGUGGGAUUGCCAUCGCUCAACGGAUAAAAGCUACCCUGGGGUAACAGGCUUAUCACUCCCAAGAGUUCACAUCGACGGAGUGGUUUGGCACCUCGAUGUCGGCUCAUCGCAUCCUGGAGCUGUAGCAGGUUCCAAGGGUUGGGCUGUUCGCCCAUUAAAGCGGUACGCGAGCUGGGUUCAGAACGUCGUGAGACAGUUCGGUCCCUAUCCGGCGUGGGCGUAGGAUAUUUGAGAGGAGCUGUCCUUAGUACGAGAGGACCGGGAUGGGCAAACCUCUGGUGUAUCUGUUGUUUUACCAAAGGCAUGGCAGAGUAGCCAAGUUUGGCAGGGAUAAACGCUGAAGGCAUCUAAGCGUGAAGCCCCCCUCAAGAUAAGAUAUCCCAUCUUCGGAGUAAGACCCCUUGAAGACUACAAGGUUGAUAGGCUUCAGGUGUAAGUGUGGUAACGCACUCAGCUGAGAAGUACUAAUAGGUCGAGGACUUAGCAAA